GGGUCCGAUCAUACCAGCGUUAAUGCACUUGAUCCCAUCAAAACUCUGCAGUUAAGCGUGCUUGGGCUAGAGUUGUACUGGGAUGGGUGACCUCCAAGGAAGUCCUAGUGUUGCACCCU
rnacentral:rRNA from 1 species